AGUCAAGUAAUUAAGUGCAUGUGGUGGAUGCCUUGGCAGUCAGAGGCGAUGAAAGACGUGAUAGCCUGCGAAAAGCUCCGGGGAGGCGGCAAAUAUCCUUUGAUCCGGAGAUUUCUGAAUGGGGGAACCCACCUACUUUAAGGUAGGUAUUGCAACAUGAAUACAUAGUGUUGCAAGGCGAACGAGGGGAAGUGAAACAUCUCAGUACCCUUAGGAAAAGAAAUCAAUUGAGAUUCCCUCAGUAGCGGCGAGCGAACGGGGAUCAGCCCAUUAAGUUAUGUGUGUUUUAGUGGAACGCUCUGGGAAGUGCGAACGUAGAGGGUGAUAUUCCCGUACACGAAAGGGCACACAUAAUGAUGACGAGUAGGGCGAGGCACGUGAAACCUUGUCUGAAUAUGGGGGGACCAUCCUCCAAGGCUAAAUACUCCUGACUGACCGAUAGUGAACCAGUACCGUGAGGGAAAGGCGAAAAGAACCCCUGUGAGGGGAGUGAAAUAGAUCCUGAAACCGCAUGCAUACAAGCAGUGGGAGCACCUUCGUGGUGUGACUGCGUACCUUUUGUAUAAUGGGUCAGCGACUUAUAUUCAGUAGCGAGGUUAACCGUAUAGGGGAGCCGUAGAGAAAUCGAGUCUUAAUAGGGCGUUUAGUUGCUGGGUAUAGACCCGAAACCAGGCGAUCUAUCCAUGAGCAGGUUGAAGGUUGGGUAACACUAACUGGAGGACCGAACCCACUGUCGUUGAAAAGCCAGGGGAUGACUUGUGGAUAGGGGUGAAAGGCUAAUCAAGCCUGGUGAUAGCUGGUUCUCCCCGAAAGCUAUUUAGGUAGCGCCUCGGACGAAUACCAUAGGGGGUAGAGCACUGUUUCGGCUAGGGGGUCAUCCCGACUUACCAAACCGAUGCAAACUCCGAAUACCUAUGAGUACUAUCCGGGAGACAGACUGCGGGUGCUAACGUCCGUAGUCAAGAGGAAAACAAUCCAGACCGCCAGCUAAGGCCCCAAAAUCAUAGUUAAGUGGGAAACGAUGUGGGAAGGCAUAGACAGCUAGGAGGUUGGCUUAGAAGCAGCCACCCUUUAAAGAAAGCGUAAUAGCUCACUAGUCGAGUCGGCCUGCGCGGAAGAUGUAACGGGGCUAAAACUAUGUGCCGAAGCUGCGGAUGUAUACUUUGUAUACGUGGUAGGGGAGCGUUCUGUAAGCCGAUGAAGGUGUGUUGAGAAGCAUGCUGGAGGUAUCAGAAGUGCGAAUGCUGACGUGAGUAACGACAAAACGGGUGAAAAACCCGUUCGCCGAAAGACCAAGGGUUCCAGUCCAACGUUAAUCGGGGCUGGGUGAGUCGACCCCUAAGGCGAGGCCGAAAGGCGUAGUCGAUGGGAAAAUGGUUAAUAUUCCAUUACUUCUGUGUAAUGCGAUGAGAGGACGGAGAAGGCUAAAUCAGCCUGGCGUUGGUUGUCCAGGUGAAAGGAUGUAGGCAUGUAUCUUAGGCAAAUCCGGGGUACUCUAUGCUGAGAUCUGAUAGCAAGCUGUACUUGUACAGCGAAGUGGUUGAUGCCAUGCUUCCAGGAAAAGUCUCUAAGCUUCAGUUACACAGGAAUCGUACCCGAAACCGACACAGGUGGUCAGGUCGAGUAGACCAAGGCGCUUGAGAGAACUCUGCUGAAGGAACUAGGCAAAAUGGUACCGUAACUUCGGGAGAAGGUACGCUGUUGUUGGUGAUGGAACUUGCUUCCUGAGCUGACGACAGCCGCAGAAACCAGGCCGCUGCAACUGUUUAUUAAAAACAUAGCACUCUGCAAACACGAAAGUGGACGUAUAGGGUGUGAUGCCUGCCCGGUGCUGGAAGGUUAAUUGAUGGGGUUAGCGUAAGCGAAGCUCUUGAUCGAAGCCCCAGUAAACGGCGGCCGUAACUAUAACGGUCCUAAGGUAGCGAAAUUCCUUGUCGGGUAAGUUCCGACCUGCACGAAUGGCAUAAUGAUGGCGGCGCUGUCUCCAGCAGAGGCUCAGUGAAAUCGAAAUCGCUGUGAAGAUGCAGUGUACCCGCGGCUAGACGGAAAGACCCCGUGAACCUUUACUGCAGCUUGACACUGAACUUUGACCUUACUUGUGUAGGAUAGGUGGGAGGCUUUGAAGCUGGAACGCUAGUUCCAGUGGAGCCGUCCUUGAAAUACCACCCUGGUAAUGUUGAGGUUCUAACUCUGUCCCGUGAUCCGGGACGAGGACCGUGUCUGGUGGGUAGUUUGACUGGGGCGGUCUCCUCCUAAAGAGUAACGGAGGAGUACGAAGGUGCGCUCAGCGUGGUCGGAAAUCACGCGUAGAGUAUAAAGGCAAAAGCGCGCUUAACUGCGAGACCCACAAGUCGAGCAGGUACGAAAGUAGGUCUUAGUGAUCCGGUGGUUCUGUAUGGAAGGGCCAUCGCUCAACGGAUAAAAGGUACUCUGGGGAUAACAGGCUGAUACCGCCCAAGAGUUCAUAUCGACGGCGGUGUUUGGCACCUCGAUGUCGGCUCAUCUCAUCCUGGGGCUGAAGCAGGUCCCAAGGGUAUGGCUGUUCGCCAUUUAAAGAGGUACGCGAGCUGGGUUUAGAACGUCGUGAGACAGUUCGGUCCCUAUCUACCGUGGGCGCUGGAAAUUUGAGAGGAUCUGCUCCUAGUACGAGAGGACCAGAGUGGACGAACCUCUGGUGUACCGGUUGUGACGCCAGUCGCAUCGCCGGGUAGCUAUGUUCGGAAGGGAUAACCGCUGAAAGCAUCUAAGCGGGAAGCCUACCUCAAGAUAAGAUUUCCCUAGGACUUUAUGUCCUCUAAAGAGCCGUUCGAGACUAGGACGUUGAUAGGUUGGAUGUGGAAGCAUAGUGAUAUGUGAAGCUGACCAAUACUAAUUGCUCGUGAGGCUUGACUAU
rnacentral:rRNA from 1 species